rnacentral:ncRNA from 1 species
CAGAGUAGGAUCCCUCGCGUGAAGUGCUGCCAUAAUGGGGAGUUGUCUGGCAGACGAAGGACAUCCCGUCCGCGAUGAGGUAUCCGCACCCGCUGC